AGUCAGUAAAUCAGUAAGACCAGCCGGACC
rnacentral:rRNA from 1 species